rnacentral:rRNA from 1 species
AUGAACGCUGGCGGCGUGCUUAACACAUGCCAGUCGAACGGAAAGGCUCCUGCUUGCCGGGGUACUCGAGUGGCGAACGGGUGAGUAACACGUGGGUGAUCUGCCCUGCACUUCGGGAUAAGCCUGGGAAACUGGGUCUAAUACCGGAUAGGACCACAUUUUGGAUGGUGUGGUGGAAAGUUUUUCGGUGUGGGAUGAGCUCGCGGCCUAUCAGCUUGUUGGUGGGGUAAUGGCCUACCAAGGCGUCGACGGGUAGCCGGCCUGAGAGGGUGUACGGCCACAUUGGGACUGAGAUACGGCCCAGACUCCUACGGGAGGCAGCAGUGGGGAAUAUUGCACAAUGGGCGCAAGCCUGAUGCAGCGACGCCGCGUGGGGGAUGACGGCCUUCGGGUUGUAAACUCCUUUCGCUAGGGACGAAGCGUUUUUGUGACGGUACCUGGAGAAGAAGCACCGGCUAACUACGUG